UAAUACGAAGGUGGCAAGCGUUGUUCGGAUUUACUGGGCGUAAAGGGAGCGUAGGCGGUUUGGUAAGCCCUCCGGGAAAUCUUCGGGCUCAACCCGGAAAGUUCGGAGGGGACUGCCAGGCUAGAGGACGGGAGAGGAGCGCGGAAUUCCCGGUGUAGCGGUGAAAUGCGUAGAGAUCGGGAGGAAGGCCGGUGGCGAAGGCGGCGCUCUGGAACGUUUCUGACGCUGAGGCUCGAAAGCGUGGGGAGCAAACAGGAUUAGAUACCCUGGUAGUCCACGCCCUAAACGAUGGAUACUAAGUGUCGGCGGGUUACCGCCGGUGCCGCAGCUAACGCAGUAAGUAUCCCGCCUGGGGAGUACGGCCGCAAGGUUG
rnacentral:rRNA from 1 species